GGGAGCGCAGCACGGCGGGAAAGGGGUGGGGUGGACAGCUUGGGUUCUAGAGGAUCGACCGCGGGGCGGUGGCAGAACCUGCGAGCUAGGUGGGCGACUCUCCUCUCAGGAUCAACGGACACGAGGACCUCCGCUCCACCGGAGCGAGGAGGACCUUGGAGUCCCACACUCCGGCCGUCGCCGCCUUCAGCCGCUCAAGACGGUGGACCCGCGGGCGUACAGGAGAUCCCGCGCGCAGGUCUACAGGUGGCAGUAUAGAAGCCAAAUCUGGAGCUUCUAGCAGUGGUUUCUAAAAAAUAAGAGUUGAAUGUACAUGAGUAAGCAAGCACAGGAAUCUGAAAAACCACAGGUCAAGCUGUAGAACAUUUCCAGAGUGCCAGAAGAUUUCUUCCUGAUCCUUCUGCUCAUCAUUUGUCUACCUCCAAUAUGAAGAAUACGCCAAAAGAAGAGGAUGAAGAGGAAAAAGGAGGAGGAGGAAGA